GGGGGCGGCGCCCUCUAUUGGCCCGCCGCCACUGGGAAACGGUCUGAUGAAGGCCAAGGGAGGAGUCGUGGGGACCAAUCUGAGGCCAUUCUUGGACAAACUGAGUCAGGUCCAAGGGCUGUAUGAGGCAGAGCAGAGGGGGAAAGAGAGGGCAAGGACAUGAAGAAAGGAUGCUCCUCGGUUGUACACCGCUCUGCAUUCAUGGAGCUGUGACUGUUCCUUCCUGAGGGUGCAGCACGGGGAAGGUACGCCGGGUCACCUCACUUUCCUCUCUCAACCAAUAACACAACAUAUUCUGACUGUCAAUCCCCAACAAACAGCCACCCUCCUCAGAGUCUUUUUGUGCCACCCAGACUGACAGUUUGAACGCACGCACAAACCCUAACCGUCCCAUAUCAGCAAACCACAGAGCCACUAACACCCACGUUGUUCUUUUAUUUUCUGACAAAUGUCUGUCUUUACUCUUCUGUUCUGUACACAUUCUUUCUGUCUUUGUCCUGUUGUUCUGUAUUUUGUUUCUUGUGUUAAAAUAAUAAAAGAAAACUCAAGAACAUCCUCAGAAUUUA